UUAGGCUACUCUAGCAAAAGAGUAAACAUCGAAAUUUAUCAUGAGCUUUCACAGGCUCCAGAGAACAGGGUGUGAAAGGGGAUCACAAGAGGAAAAUGCAGAAACCCACUGCUGGGGGAAGGUAUUUCAACCUGAGAUCCGCACGCAGCUUCUGCUCUCUUUACUUCACUAAAAUGACUAUUGAGAAGUUGCCACCAGCACUGUAGUUAUCAAAUACAAACUCAUUCUUCAAGGAAGUGGUUAUUGUGUGCUAAAUGAACAGAAAUAUGUUUGCCUCUUGUUCCAGUACAUCUUAGAAUACAGAAAAAAACCAAAGUAGAGGAAGAGGAGUUCAAAGUAUUUCAAAUACAGAACACAUCAUUGAAAUCUCACUAUUGAAGAUGGUGGAGUAAAUCGUGCUACAUUCAAUGAGUCAAGGAUGUGGCGAAGAAUGUUGAGAACUCCAGCAUGGAAAGUCACCAUUCACACCAUCUACUGAUAGCUGGCUUGGCUUUUGUCUGUGUGCAACACAAACCACAUCCUAAGGAGAAUAAAAGCUUUGGAUACCGUCAAGAUUGAUAAAGAUUACAUUCUAACAGGAGAGACUUCUUGAUUAGGAGAAAGGAUAGUUCAUCAAACAGCAUGGAGAAUAAAAGCAUCCACCUAAGGAAUCUGAAGACCACUGGACAAAGGAGACAUUGGAAGAAAGACAAAUCAUCAAGAGAAAAAUGUCCCAAGAAAAAGUAAUUUGGCCUAAUGGUAUAGCACACUUCUAACAUGAUAGAAAUUCACAAAUCUUCCCAAAUGUUUGUUCCUGCUGUUCUCUACAGACACAUAAGGAAAAUGGUCUUUUUUUCAGUCCCAACUCAAUUGAAAAUUAAAGCUGACUUUGGAGUUGGUGCUUGGCUCUCUCCUUCUCUAAACCUAAGCACACUUGCUAAAGGAAAAUCCAACAUCUCUGUCUCAUGUCAGAAAAACCAAUGGUAUGGGACAGAAAAAACAAAAAUGAAGAGAGUAUUGUAUUGUCACUAAUCACAUAAUCCUUUGUUUUUAUUUUGACACUUUAAAACUUUUCUUAAGAUAUAAAUAGUAUCUCAAAGUUUAUAAGAUUAUUAUUAUCUAUAUAUAAACUUUCUGUCAUGAUGUUAAAGGUCAUAUAGAGUACUAAAUAAUUCUAGAAAUAAGCUUCAUCUAGCUUCCUAUUAUUUCAGUUUUGAGUCUGAAGCAGGUAAGUAGGAGGUAUUUAGCAGAUUGUGGGCCUUUAACUUCUCAGGGAUCUGCUGCAUAUGACAUAUAAAAUGUUUAAGUUUUCUUCAGUGAACUGUGACCAUUCCUGGCAGUGACCUUUGAGAUCUCCAAGGAGAUGAUGGGGUCCUACAAUGAAAAUUCCAUCUGGAUAGUGGUAACACCACUAAGCUGACAAACAGUACCCAAAGGUCAGUUUUGUAUUACAAAAUGCUGAAGACAACUUCAAAGUGGUUAGCUACGAUGGUCCUGACUCACAGACUACACCAGUCAGGACUUAAGAGAAGCCCUGCACUUCCCCAUCACACCAAAACUGGACAGGGGACAGCUCUCCCAGGACUUGACCAUUACCUUAAGUUUCUCAGGGUCCCUCAAAGAUGCUGUCUGUCACCCCAAGAUGACAGAAAGUAAUUUUAAUAACAUGAUGCCCAUACUCCCAAGAGACAGGGUGGGUGGUUUUUUGUCAUUUGGUGGGUUAUGGAUGUUUAUCA